rnacentral:lncRNA from 1 species
GCUUCACCUUGAAAGUUUUAAAGCCAAUGUAUCUUCUCUUUCUGAAGAUUUGAAACAUUUUGUAGACAGAAUGGAAAGCAAUGAAAAUCUACAAAAAUGUUUUGAAUACCCAAAAGAAAAAGCAUCAGAUUUGUUUCUGGCAAUACCUGUGGUUGAGAUGAAGGAAUCCAUAGCAGAGGUUUCUUCAGAGCCUCAGGCUUGGGAUCAGUUUUUGUUGCACUAUCAGGUUGAGUGUCUGCGAUUACAUGUUCAGAGGAUCAACCAAAGUCAGAAUUUCUGAAGUUGAAGUGAA